rnacentral:rRNA from 1 species
GGGGAAUAUUGGGCAAUGGGGGAAACCCUGACCCAGCGACGCCGCGUGGAGGAAGGAGCCCUUCGGGGUGUAAACUCCUGUUGUAAGGGAAGAAGGCAGUGACGGUACCUUACGAGGAAGCCCCGGCAAACUACGUGCCAGCAGCCGCGGUAACACGCAGGGGGCGAGCGUUGUCCGGAAUUACUGGGCGUAAAGCGCACGCAGGCGGAUGCGCGCGUCGGCUGUGAAAUGCACCGGCUCAACCGGUGCACUGCGGUCGAUACGGCGCAUCUGGAGUGCGGGAGAGGGAAGCGGAAUUCCCGGUGUAGCGGUGAAAUGCGUAGAUAUCGGGAGGAACGCCGGUGGCGAAGGCGGCUUCCUGGCCCGCAACUGACGCUCAUGUGCGAAAGCCAGGGGAGCGAACCG